AACUAUAUUACAUGUGAAAAGUACCAAAAUAGACCUUAAGGAGGUAUAAAAAUAAAUUAAACAAGAACUUGUCCCUUAAGAUACUGAUGGCCUAGCAAUGGAGUUUAGAAACAUAUAUAGUCUUAAGUAAGGUAGAAAAAUCUAAGAGAAAUAUAUAUGAACUGCAAUUU